CCUACGGGUGGCAGCAGUGGGGAAUAUUGGACAAUGGGCGAAAGCCUGAUCCAGCCAUGCCGCGUGUGUGAAGAAGGCCUUCGGGUUGUAAAGCACUUUCAGUGGGGAAGAAAGCCUUGGGGCUAAUACCCUCGAGGAAGGACAUCACCCACAGAAGAAGCACCGGCUAACUCCGUGCCAGCAGCCGCGGUAAUACGGAGGGUGCGAGCGUUAAUCGGAAUUACUGGGCGUAAAGCGCGCGUAGGCGGUCUGAUAAGCCUGUUGUGAAAGCCCCGGGCUCAACCUGGGAACGGCAUCCGGAACUGUCAGGCUAGAGUGCAGGAGAGGAAGGUAGAAUUCCCGGUGUAGCGGUGAACUGCGUAGAGAUCGGGAGGAAUACCAGUGGCGAAGGCGGCCUUCUGGACUGACACUGACGCUGAGGUGCGAAAGCGUGGGUAGCAAACAGGAUUAGAUACCCGAGUAGUC
rnacentral:rRNA from 1 species